rnacentral:rRNA from 1 species
UGGGGAAUAUUGCACAAUGGGCGCAAGCCUGAUGCAGCCAUGCCGCGUGUGUGAAGAAGGCCUUCGGGUUGUAAAGCACUUUCAGCGGGGAGGAAGGCGUUAAGGUUAAUAACCUUGGCGAUUGACGUUACCCGCAGAAGAAGCACCGGCUAACUCCGUGCCAGCAGCCGCGGUAAUACGGAGGGUGCAAGCGUUAAUCGGAAUUACUGGGCGUAAAGCGCACGCAGGCGGUCUGUCAAGUCGGAUGUGAAAUCCCCGGGCUCAACCUGGGAACUGCAUUCGAAACUGGCAGGCUAGAGUCUUGUAGAGGGGGGUAGAAUUCCAGGUGUAGCAGUGAAAUGCGUAGAGAUCUGGAGGAAUACCGGUGGCGAAGGCGGCCCCCUGGACAAAGACUGACGCUCAGGUGCGAAAGCGUGGGGAGCAAACAGC